rnacentral:rRNA from 1 species
GGUCUUGACAUACCAAUGAUCGCUUUUGUAAUGAAAGCUUUUCUUCGGAACAUUGGAUACAGGUGGUGCAUGGUCGUCGUCAGCUCGUGUCGUGAGAUGUUGGGUUAAGUCCCGCAACGAGCGCAACCCUUGUUAUUAGUUGCCAGCAUUUAGUUGGKCACUCUAAUGAGACUGCCGGUGAUAAACCGGAGGAAGGUGGGGACGACGUCAGAUCAUCAUGCCCCUUAUGACCUGGGCAACACACGUGCUACAAUGGGAAGUACAACGAGUCGCAAACCGGCGACGGUAAGCUAAUCUCUUAAAACUUCUCUCAGUUCGGACUGGAGUCUGCAACUCGACUCCACGAAGGCGGAAUCGCUAGUAAUCGCGAAUCAGCAUGUCGCGGUGAAUACGUUCCCGGGUCUUGUACACACCGCCCGUCAAAUCAUGGGAGUCGGAAGUACCCAAAGUCGCUUGGCUAACUUUUAGAGGCCGGUGCCUAAGGUAAAAUCGAUGACUGGGAUUAAGUCGUAACAAGGUAGCCGUAGGAGAACCUGCGGCUGGAUCACCUCCUUUCUAAGGA